GGAAGCGGCAGGGGGGAGGGCAGGCCAAGGCCCGCCCUGAAGGGCUGACUGUGCUGGGAGCACACAAGAAACACGCAGCAAGCCAUGGGCAGUCCAGCACUGACGUGGACGUGCCCUGGAUGUGAGCAGCUUCCCUAAGACAGAUUCCUUCCUUCGAGACAGAUGGAGAUGAGAGGAACAAAUUUAACAAAAGUAAAGCAGAGGGAAGAGGGUUAGUACAGUGCCGAUUGCUAGCCAGAUUGUCAAAAAUUAAACAAGAUAAUUGCCUUCAGUUCCAGCAAAAUUGUGAGGGAACUGGCUCCCUAUCAGCGGAAGGAUGAAUUGGCAUAGAUCUUUUUGGAAUUAAUUGUUGCAGUAUCCAUUAAGAAGUGGUUUUAUUCUUUGGAGAAGAAAUAUUAUACGUGCUCCUUAUUCAGCUGUUAUUAAUUAAGAUCCUAUUAAUUUAUUUCACUUCUUGUCUUGGUAAAAUUGAGGUCCACAGUUCCGUUUUUUACUUCUCAAGCCAACUAAUGAAUUUCCAGAGUCUGGCCUUAAAAAUGAAAGUCUACAUAGUUAAUAAAAGGAACCUAGAAAGAGUUUAAGAUGUUUCCUUUCCCCUGAAAUCACGGAGGGAAAGAUAUCGUUCUGAAUUAUAAAACUGAUUGAAGAAUUUGAUUUGAUAAGGUGUUGAAUUAAGA
rnacentral:lncRNA from 1 species